rnacentral:rRNA from 1 species
GACGAACGCUGGCGGCGUGCUUAACACAUGCAAGUCGAACGGAAAGGCCCUUCGCGGUCCUCGAGUGGCGAACGGGGGAGGAACACGUGGGUUAUCUGUCCUGCACUUUUGGAUAAGCCUGGGCAACUGGGUCUAAUACCGAAAAUGGUCUUCAGCCUCAUGGUCGGAGGAGGUAGGCUUUGACGGUGUGGGAUGGGCCCGCGGGUGAUCAGCUUGAUGGCGGGGUAGUGGGUUGCCAAGGCGACGGCGGGUAGCCGGCCUGAGAGGGUGACCGGCCACACGGGGACUGAGAUACGGCCCGGACUCGUACGGGAGGCAGCAGUGGGGAAGAUUGCGCAAUGGGCGCAAGCCUGAUGCAGGGACGCCGCGGGAGGGAUGAAGGCUUUCGGGUUGUAGACCUCUUUCAGCAGAGACGAAGCGAUAGUGACGGUAUGUGCAGAAGAAGGACCGGCUAACUACGUG